rnacentral:rRNA from 1 species
CUAGCCCGCAAAUGAGUCUUAGUUCUUCCUUAACCCCUCCCCCAGGACAACAAACCCAAACCCCCAUGCAGUGAGUUAAGAGCUAUCUAAAGGGGGUACAGCCCCUUUAAAAAGGACACACCCUCCACUAGCGGAUAACCCCUCCCCACCCUGACCCCGUAGGCCUUAAAGCAGCCACCCCCAAAGAGUGCGUCAAAGCUCUCAAUCAAAAAUACAAAAGCAACGCGAUUCCCUACACCUUUAGCUGGCUAACCUAUAACAAUAGAUGAAUCAAUGCUAGAACGAGUAACCAGGAUACCCUCCCCUCAAGCGCUAGCUUAUAUACCAUUAACAGCCCACCAUCAAUGCUUAGCCCCAACCCAAGACCAAACAUUGAGCAUACCCUGUUAACCCAACCCAGGAGCGCACACUAGGACGAUUAAAACCUACAAAAGGAACUCGGCAAACCCAAGACCCGACUGUUUACCAAAAACAUAGCCUUCAGCUAAACAAGUAUUGAAGGUGAUGCCUGCCCAGUGACACCACGUUCAACGGCCGCGGUAUCCUAACCGUGCAAAGGUAGCGCAAUCAAUUGUCCCAUAAAUCGAGACUUGUAUGAACGGCUAAACGAGGUCUUAACUGUCUCCUGUAGAUAAUCAGUGAAACUGAUCUCCCCGUGCAAAAGCGGGGAUAGACACACAAGACGAGAAGACCCUGUGGAACUUUAAAAUCAAUAGCCACUACACACCAACCCAAAGCCCACUCGGCCUCACCUCCCACAACACUGGCUAAUAUUUUUAGAU